rnacentral:lncRNA from 1 species
AGUUUCAAAAGAUCUUCUAGUUUUUUCUACCAUUCCUUUUCAAAUUUCGUAACUAUUUUCAUCAGUCUGAUGCUGCUUUCAUUCUCCUCUUAUUCAUCUCAUAUCCUACAUCGCCAUCCUCUGUCAAUCUCUACUUCUGUAAUCUCUUGGUCAGCCGAUCUGCGAUCAAGGUAAGCAUUUUCUCCUGUUUUUAACCCUUUUGAAGCCAAAUUGUGCACUUUUUCAUUUGUUGAUCUGCCUAUAUGCUGAAAAUUGAUUUUGUAGAAGAACUUACUUAACUCUUUGAUAUCUUGGAUGUAGGACCCAAUAACUGAUUUAGCCCUUUUUGUGCUUUUGGCUUUCUUGAUCACUGUCAGGGAGUCUUUUUCAAUAUCAACAAAUUUUAGUCCCAGAUCUCUACCCAAAAUGACCGCUUGUAAACAUGCAAUGACUUCUGCUUCAAAUCCUAAAGGUAUAUUCUCAUGAAGUGUGGAUCUUGUUGCUACCUCAUUUCCUUUAUAAUCUCGGACAAUGAUUCCUAAACAUGAUUUGUUUGUUUUGAGAUCUACCGCUACAUCAAAAUUAAUUUUGUAGUAGCAUUUUCCCGGGGGUCUCCAAUUGUUAUUGCUAGGUUUUGAGGUAACCUGUGUUUGUUUAAUGUCCUUUAGCUCCUGUAGAUACUGAAGAAUAAAUUUUGCUACCUCUUUUCCUGAUUGCUUUUGACCUUCGUGAACCCAUUUUUUUCUAGCAGACCAGAUAGCCCAUAUGGCACAGAUGAAUUUUUGACAGUCUUCAGUAUUACUAGUGAGUACAAUCCAGGUAAACCAGUCUGUAAACUCUGCAUGAGAUAUAUUAUCAGGCCAUGUAACACUUAAAUAAUUCCAAGUUCCUUUUGUAACAACACAGUCCUGAAAGGUGUGUUCUCUGUUCUCCAAUCCUUCCAUGCAUCGGGGGCAAGCAGCUUCAUUCGUCAAUCUUUUAAUUCGUAGAUUAGCUAGUGUAGGUAGAAAAUUUAAAGUGACUCUCCAGGCUGUAAUAAUUAUUUUUGAAAGGAGGUCACACAUCCACAACUUUUUAAAGCAUUUCCUAUCUUCCGUUUGGUUGUAGCUAUUGGUAAAAUUGCUGUGUAAUAGUAAUUUGUAGCCACUCUUCACUGUAUACUCGCCUAUUUCUUUGCCUCUCCAUGCCAGAAAAUCCUCGUGUGGGGUAUUGGCUAGCGGAAUUCGGAGGAUUUUUUUGGCAUCUUCUUCAGAAAAAGGUGUUUUUAAUCAACUCUGACUUCCAUGAACUUGUGUUGCUGUCGAUCAAAUUUGCUACCAUCACUAAGUUUGGCCCUCUAACCUUUUGUUUUAUAUACAAAUUGUUGGCAUUUGGUACCCACACAUCAGUUUCAAUUCUAAUGUUGCGCCCAUUACCCACCCUCCAACAUAAUCCUGAUUUCAAAAGCCCCUUUGCUGCCCAAAUACUUUUCCAGGUAUAUGAGGGUGAGUUUCGUAACUCUGAAUUUAAAAAAUCAGAAUUUGGAAAGUAUUUUGCUCUUAAAUUUUGUGCUAAAAGAGACUUCGGGUUUUCAAUUAAUCUCCAUCAUUGUUUAGCAAGGAGUGCCAAAUUAAAUUUUGCAAAGCUACGAUAUCCAAGACCACCAAACUCCUUCAAUUCACAUAGAUUACUCCAUGAACACCAAUGUAUUCCCCUCUUUCCUUGACCCUUUUGCCACCAAAAUUUGGCUAUAAUUUGUUCCAUAUCCUCACAAGCUGAUUUUGGUAGCAGGAAACACCCCAUUGUAUAGGUUGGAAUAGCUUGCAAAACAGCUUUAAUAAAAACUGUUUUUCCUCCUUGAGACAAAAAUUGCGUACUCCAGCAAUCGAUUUUUAAUUUUUAUACGAUCUUUGAGAUGUUGAAACGCAAACCUUUUUUUCCUUCCGAUCAUAUUCAGCAAGCCCAGGUAUUUUUUGCAAUUAUUUGACCAUUUAACCCCCAACCUGUUUGAAAUAGAUAAUCGACUUAUCUCCGAGGUAUUAUAGCUGAAAAAAACCGUUGACUUCCUGUAAUUGAUGCAUUGCCCUGAACAAAUUUUAUAUUAUUUGAUGACCUUUUCAAAAACUUCUGUUCCUUUUUCAGUUGCUUCCCCAAAUAAAAUACAGUCAUCCGCGAAGAGGAGAUGAGUGAUCUGAGGGCUUCUCCUACUUGCUUUAAUUCCCCUUAGACCUCAUUCUUCUUUUUCAAGUCUUAGUAGUGUAGAAAGCCCCUCACUGCAAAUUAGGAACAAAAAGGGACUUAGUGGAUCCCCUUGGCGCAGGCCUCUCGACAGAAUAAAAGCUUUCCCUGGUAUCCCGUUUAACACAACAGAAUAUGAGACGGUACUAAUACACUUCAUGAUGAGUUGUAUCCAAGAUUCAGCGAACCCCAUUCUAGCCAUCAUUUGAUUCAAAAAAUUCAAUUCCACCCGAUCAUAUGCUUUGCUCAUAUCAAUCUUUAAAGCCAUUAAACCUUUUUUCCCUGUUCUUUUGUUCCGCAUAGAGUGAAGAAUUUCGUAGGCGAGAAGGACAUUGUCAGUAGUUAGCCUUCCUGGAACAAAAGCACUUUGCGCUUGAUCAAUGCAGUAUUCCAGUACUUUUUGGAAUCUGUUGGCUAUAGAUUUUGAAAUUAUCUUGUAUAAAACUGAACAGAGACUAAUUGGCCUACAUUCUGAUGGUUUUUUCGGAUGAGGGUUCUUAGGUAUUAAAACUAUAUUCGUAUGAUUUUGACAGUCAAAAGAUUUUCCUUUAUUAAGAGUAUCUAAACAAAACUCCUCGUGCCCCAUAAUGUGCCAGUAUUUUUGGAAGAAAAUGGUUGGGAAUCCAUCUGGUCUAGGGGCUUUUGUCUCCCCUAUACUAUUCAUUACCUCCUUUAUUUCCUCUUCUUUAUAACUCUUUGUCAACAUCUAAUUCAUGCUUUCAGUGAUAUUUCGCUUGACACCCGAAAGGAGGUGAUUGGUAUCUCCUACUCCACUUGUUUCAAACAGCUUCGAGAAGUAAUCUCUUAUAAUCUCUUCUAUUUCUUCACCCUCAGUUUUGAUAGUGCAUUCCUUAUAUUCCAUCUCUUGUAUUUUGUUCAUUCCACAUUUUUUUUAUGUUUGGCUAUGAAAGAAAGUUGUAUUUUUAUCUCCUUGACGCAGCCAAUUCGUUCUUGCUCUUUGUUCCUAAUACAUUUCCUCCUUUUCCAUCUCCCAAUUUAAUUCUAAUUUCACAUCAAUCAUCUCUGUUAGGGUCUUGUCGUCCUUAUCCAUUAAUUCAAGUUCAGUCAGUCUUUCUCAAAGAAAUUUUAACUUCUUGAUACGUUCUCUUUUAAUGUUUUUCCCCCAUCUCUGCAUUCCAUCCUGUGUAUGCUCAAGUUUAUCCAAGACGUUGCCAAUCUUCUCUUGCCACAAUUUCUUAAUAAUAUCUUCACAUGAAGGCUUAGUUAUCUACCAUAAUUCAAAUUUAAAGAGAUUAACCCCAUACAUUGAUACAUUUGGCGUUGUUUGGAUGAAAAUUGGGCAAUGAUCAGAGAAGGAAUAGGGUAGAUGUUGUAUCAAAUAGUCAGAAAAUAAGUUCAACCAUUCUCGAUUUGCAACUCCCCUGUCCAGUUGUUCCCUUAUAUUUGUUUCCGCAAAAUUUCCCUUUUCCCAAGUAUACUUUUGUCUACGAUAUCCCAUAUCUGACAGAUCGCAGUCUUCUAAAGGUUUCCCAAAUUCCUCCAUUUGCCUUUCGUCCCUUGUUGGUUCUCCUUUUUUUUCACGUGCGUACAUGAUUUCAUUGAAAUCGCCACAUACACACCAUGGCUUUGAGUGGCUGCUCUUCAGAUGACAAAGUAAGUUCCAUGACUCUUGCCUAUUCGACUACUUUGGGUUGCCAUAAAAUCCAGUGAAACGCUAUAUUUUCAAAUUUUCUACCUCGUUAAUCUCCACAUCAAUAUGGUUACUUAAAUAACUGUAAACUUGCACUAAGUCAUUUUCAUUCCAAGCAAGACUUAGUCCCCCACGUGAACCAUUCGCUGAAAUAUCUACUCCAUUGUGAAAACCACACCGUUUCCAAAACCUUUCCAUUCAAACACCAUUCAGUUUGGUCUCCAUUAAGAAGACCAUCUGGGGUUUAUAAAGUUUCAACGUAUGUUGAAGCCUCCUGAUUGCCUGAGGAUUCCCCAGUCCUCGAACAUUCCAACUUAAGAUUUUCAUUGGUCUCGGUCAGCUGUCCAUUUGUCAGCCACCGAUAUAUUUUGUUGAAAAAUUUCCCCUUUCUCCAUGUUAGAUCGCAUCAAAUCAAUUAUCAUUCAUUCUCCCAAAUUCCCCUCCAUAAUUUUUGGUUUUUUUAUUCAUUCCGCAUCGAGUGGUCCAGAAACAGUCUCCUCCUCAUGAUUGAAUUUUCGUUUGCCAAAUUUUGCUUCAGUCAUAUUGAAGUUGCUACUUUCUUUGGGGCCUAGUCGACGCCAGCCCCUUUUCUUGUGGCCCAUCUGAAUGCUCUCGUCUAAGAUGGUGAGCCCAACAUCCUUUGAAUUUAUUUCAGAAUUAUCCACAGUGCUAUACCAAUUAAUGCUGGUCUUUUCAGUCUCUGUCAUAGGCCCCAUGCCUUUAGAGUUUACUUUUUGAUUAUCUUCUGUAGUGCUCUUGUUUUUGUGUAACUCUUCCUCCCAUUUCCUAGCCGAGUCUUAAGGCAAAAUAUUCGCUUCUUGAUUUCUCAAUUGUUCCAGCUUUUCCUCCGUUUUAUGUCUUUCAGAGUUCUUCUUUGAGAUAACUUCUUUCUUUGGUCGUCAGGAUCAGUUUGACUACUCAGAUGAAAAAACAUCAUUGUUUUCCACCGCUUCGCUUCCUAUGUACAAACAUUGCUCCGUUGAUUUUUUCCUUAUGGCCCCAAAAAUUAAACUUUCUUUCCCCACCAUGGAAGAUUCUGCUUUGAGUGCUAGCGAGAAAGGUUGCUCGUCAUCUGCUUUAGUACGAUCUUCCCGGUGAAUUAUCGAACACUCCUUAACUCCAUGACCCAUUUUCCCACAACCAAAAUAGAAAGUUGGGAGGUUUUCGUAUUUAAAAGGUAGCCAUAUCUUCUCCUUGCCACUUGGAGAAACAAAUACUCCCUUCCUUAAUUAUUUUUGAACAUCUAGGUUUACUCUGAUUUAACAAAAUUCCCAUUUUAUCUCAGACCUUAUUACUCUCCCAAAAGUGGAUCCAAUAGCAUGAAUCAGAUCCUUCUUAUCGCAUUCAGGAGGGCACGGACCAGCUUUUAUCUAGUACGGUGAAAAAACUAAUUUUAUCUUAUUUCUCUCUAUCGGUUUCGUCAGCAUAUCAAAAGUAAUUAGUUGUUUACGAAAGAGCCAUGGCCGACCUUACAGUAUUUGUUCUAAGCCUUCUUCAUCUUCGAAUGAAAUCAUAAAUAGAUUUUGUCCAGCAAUGAGGAUCUCGAACUUCUUUUUUGUUUUCCAGAUACUUCAUAACUGCACUCUUAAGCUAUUUGGAUUAUAUGUUUUUUGUGUCCAUACCGAGCAUAUUAACGUCGGAUUCUUCGAUGGAAUUACUAGAGAGCUUUUCACCGUCAGUUGGAUUAAUUCUUCUUCAAGAAAAGCCACAUCGCUCCUCUCAUCCAUCUAUUCGAAGUCACCACUCGUCUUCUUUCCAACCACAAUAUUCCCUAUUUCUUCGAAAAACCUAAUAGAGCACUAUUGACUUCUUUUAUUUUUUAAGUUGCACAUUCUUCCCAACUCUUACAUUUUUCUCUUAUGCUAAUUUAAGUUCCCUUUUUCCGAUGAGGUCGUUGAGAGUACUAAAAAUAUUCUAUCCUUAUAAAAUAUUAAAAAUAAUAAAAAUAAUAGUAUAAGGGAAGUAGGGUUAAAUUCUUAGGAACCGGAUUUGCACAAUUGCUUGUUCCUCGAAAUUCUGGUCAAAAUCGUGCCUAAGAAAACCUAUGUACCUGAAAAAAUAAAAAAUAAAAUAGAAUUAAACGUUUUGAUCUUGGAAAAAAUAAAAUAAAAAUUGAAUUAAAAGUUUUGAUUAAAAUUUCGAAAAUUAAAAUUAAAAUAAUAGAAAUAAAUAGAGUUGAGGAAAAAGAAUUCUUAUGGAGAGAUUCUAGCCUCCAGUUGCCUCGAUCCGCCUUGGGUUCAAUCCUCGGCUUUUAGGUGAUCUUUCUCAAACAAAAUAAGCCAGUUAUAGUGGAAGAGGACGCCUACGACCACCAGCUCCAAGAUUUUAGACUUAUGAUUUUAGUGGAUCCUGAAUUUAGCAAACAAUCACUUUUAUGGGAUCAUCUUAUUCUAGAUCAUCACUUCUCAAUGGCGAAUACCACGCCACUUUAUCUCUUGGGCUCGCCAACCUCUGACGCAGUAAGCUAACGAAUUGACUGUGCAACCUCCAAAAAUAUACGAAGCGGCUGUUCCUUGCACACGUUGAAAAAAUCACUUUUUAAGGGACAUGGACAGAAGCGUCAGCCCUGUAAUGCGGAAAAAUGAUGAAACUCUUUUGAGAAAGCUAAGUGCGGAUUCUAAGCCUCAUGAACCAUUUUUGGAGAUUUUUUACAACCUUUGGCUAGAUAAGUUUAGUGGCUCAUGAUUUUUGGGGGAAAAAGAAAUAAGUGUAAUGAAAAUAGAAUUUUAAUUGAAAAAUAUGGAAAGAAUAAAAGGCUAAACUUUAUUGGGGAGAGAGUGUUUACUGAAAAGAUGAGUAAAAUUUGUGCCACUCCAUCCCCUAUUUAUAGUACUAAGAAACCUAGCAUGUUCCUAAUUAAUUUCUAAAAAUAAAUACAAAUAAAUAAAGAUAAUUAAAGAUAAAUAAAAAUAAAUCCUAAAAUUAAAUCAAAUAAUAAUCAUUAAUAAUUAUACUAAUAUAAUUAAACAUUAAAUAGAGUCUUGUGCAAUAAAAUCUCUUCUUUUGCAUUUUUACUCCCAAAUCUUCCACAUUUUACAUUUUUGGCACCAUUUCUCUCCUACUUCGCAUGUUGACCCAUUUUAUCUUCAAAUUUGCACUUUUUUUCUUAAAUUUCCUUUUGCCUCCAAUUUAGUCCCUGAAAGAUAAAAGACCAUAAAUAGCUCAAAUUAGUAGAGUCAUACUCAAAAUAAACAUACAAUUAACAUAUAAAAAUAUGUCGUUCUAGAGUAUUAUCAAAUUCCCCCUACUUAGCCCAUGCUUACCCUCAAAUAUGGUUCCUAUCUAUUAUGAAGUUUAGAAAUUGCCAUGAAAGAAGUACCACUCCAAAGUUUUAUAAAAAUUAGUCAAAAUGCAUAUGAAAAAUAAAGAGAACCCUUAGCUUGCUUUAAGUAAAAUUGAAAAAGUAUUCCAAUUAACACACACAAAAAUUAAGAUCGACUUGGAUUAUUUCAUGAAAAUUAGGUAAUUUACCAAACCUUUAAUCCCCACAUUUUAUUAAUACAUCUCCUUUUUUUUUCUUUUUUUUUGCUUAAGAAUAUACUGAACCUUUUGACGCGAAGAGAAUUGACAGCCAAGCACCCCACCCCGGUUACUUAGCCCAACAUUCUCCUAAUUUUUAUUUUUCUUAAGAACAUAUCGAACCUUUUGACGUGAAGAGAGAUGACAGCCAAACACCUCACCCUGGUUACUCAGCCCAACACAUUCUUAAAAAUUAAUUCCGAUUAGCGGAGUUUUACCUAACACGUCAUACAACCUUUUGACGAGAAAUAGGAUAACAACCCAAGCAUCCUACCCCGGUUACUCAGCUAGUCACGUCUUAAGGUGCACUCAUAACCACGGAAACAUUAUUAUUAAACGAAAUUUUAAUUUUGGAGGAGGGAAGCAACAAUCAAGUGUCAAAAAUAAGUUUCAGCAACCACCUUAAUAAUCAUGAACAUAUUUUAAGCAUGCCAUUGUAUUAAGUGUCCUCUCUGUAUUUAGACUUAAUCGAUUUUACUAUAAGCAAGAUAGUGUUAACUUUAUCAAUCAUAAUUAUUUAGCCUAAAAGAAAUAAAAUAGUGGAGAUGAAAUCAAACAGGCAAAAUCAUAACUAACUUAGUAGACAAGAAGCAUGCAUGUAGGUCAAACAGUAGGCAAAUCGUGGUCAAAUUCUUGGGCAUGAAAAGAAGCAGAUAUUCUAUUAAAAAAAUAUGGGCAGCAACGAGCACAAAGCAGCAACAAUAACAGCAUAUGAAAUGACAAAAAAAAUGUGAAAUGCCUCUCCCUACUUAAAACACAUUGUUCUCGAUGUAGAAUAUAAUAAAGAAAUAAAUAGGCAAAAGGAGAAAAGUUUAAAAAAACUCCCUAUGUAGUUAAUGUUGUUGGCACAAAGCGGCAAUAAGAUCAGCCAUCUGCUGGCCGAAGGAGGCGAUUCGCGUGGUGGAGAUGAAGAAGAUGGCACGAUCAAUGUGUGCGGCGGAAAGAUUGGCGAGGAAGAGGAACUGUCAGCCAAGUCAAUGUUUUGGGGUGCCGAAAAACGGCACCGGCUUGAGUUGACGGUGAAUGAUGACUCGGCGGUAGCUUACUACGAGUUCUCACCAUGGUAUUGGAGAAAUUGGCGGUGGAGGAAAGUAGAAAGAGGGUGAUGCGGCUGGUGGGGGUGUUUGAAUUUUUGGGUGAAAAAGAAUAGGGUAAAUUUUAGGGUUUGGUUGUGUAUAGGAGGGUUGUUUGGUUGAAAGGUGUGUGAUUGGCUGCAGGCUUUGAGUAGUCUUAAGGUAGGGACGCGCUAUUCUUGGCUGGAAUAGGGAUAGGAUAAGGGCUGUUUUGAUGCAAAUUUUUUUGUUUCUCUCCUUUUCCUUUCUAUUUUCGCUUCGGUUUACCUAGACAGAAGAAUGGAAAUUUAUCAAUAUCUAAAAAUAAAGUAAUAAAUAAUAAUAUAAUAAUAUAAUAAUAUAAUAAUAUAAUAAAUAAUAAAUAAUAUAAUAUAAUAUAAUAUAAUAUAAUAUAAUAUAAUAAAUAAUAAAAUAAAAAUAAAGAAUAAUAAAAAUUAGGUUGCCUCCUAACAAGCGUUUGUUUAACAUCGCUAGUUUGACGUCUCAACUAGUAUUGGGGCUGUUCCAGCUGAAUUCUUUCGUUUGUAUGGGCUUGAAAAUUCUCCCUUUUUAUCACAUCCACCAUAUUUGAGUUGAAUCGUCAUUACGCCUCUUUCUUUGGUUUCGUAUUUUCCUCCAAGAAAAUCUUAUGUGUGCUUGUCAAGGGGUUAAUCCCUUUUAAGUCGGAAAUAGACUCAUCAUUCUUCAACAAUGCGCACUUGCAAUGCUCGGGAAGUGGUUUUAAUUUCAGAUUUGGUAUCUGCACAACAGAAGGUAGAAGUUUAGUAUCAAUAGGAGCCAAUAAUUCAUUAACAGAUUUAAAAUUAUCAAACAUUAUUUUAGAUUUAUCUCCAUAAGAUGGCUCAAAAGUUUCUUCUACUAAUGAUUCAAUUAUGUCGACACAGUUUACGUCCAAGAUUUCAUUAGGAUGACUAAUAGCGCCAUAAACAUUAAACUUCACGAUCUCCCCGUCAAACUGCAUCGUGAAGGUUUCGCUUCGUACGUCAAUCUUAGUAUUUGCGGUACUAAGAAAAGGUCACCCCAACAAGAUGUCUGAAGAUCCAAGAGGUUUAUCCUCUUCUAUUUUUAUCACAUAAAAAUUUGUAGGGAAAAUAAGCUCGUUAACUUUCACUAAUACGUCCUCGAGGACUCCUUCGAGAUGCACAACAGACCUAUCACCAACUGUAUGAUAACACUUGUUUUCGUCAAAAAACUCGCGUUAAGUGAUUCAUAAAUAGAAAAAUACAUGACAUUUAUAGAGACCUCUAAAUCACACAUAACCUUUUUUACCCGAGUGACCUAUUUUGCAUUGUAUUGCGAACAUGCCCCUAUUUUUGCAUUUUGCUAGCAUCUUCCGUUGUAACAUUGCGAAUACAUUCUCACCAAUGUUUACCCUUUCAUUACCUAUUAAUUUUCACUUGUUGGUGCAGAGCUCUUUAAAGAACUUGGCAUACCGCGGAAUAUGUGUAAUGGCCUAAAUUCAAAGUUAUCGGAACAGUGGUUUCGUAACCACAAAUCCGAUUUAAAGAGAAAUUUAUUUCAAUAUUUUUGCAUGAAAAUUGAUAUGAUAGAGAAAUCGUAUAAAAAUAUUGAUAGAAAAAUUUUACCGAUUUAGUGGUUAGUUAGAAAAAGAAAUUAUUGAAGAAAUUGGGUAAAAACAAGGUAUCGAGACCUCUAUCUCGUAAACUGAGUCAAAAAUAAUUUUAUAAAUAUUUAUGAAAUGUUAGUAAUGUGGUAUUAAAUUUCGUUAGGAAAUUUUAAUGUUUGGGUAGUCAAUUAAAUGAAAAGGACUAAAUUGUAAUAGGUGUAAAAGUUGCUAGAAUGAUUAAAUAGCUUAAGAGUCUAAUGAGAAAGGAUUUAAAAGGCAAUUAGACUCAAAAUUUAUUUGGGCUGGAUGGCAAGGGCAUGAAAUCAGCAGGAAAAUUGAUAAAUUAAGGGAAAAAUUGGAAUAUUGCAAAAUUAACUAAAUAAAGCUAGGACUAAAUAGGAAAUAUCUAGAUUUCUCUUCAUUUCUCUUCAAUUCCAGCAGCUAAAAAUGCCAUAGGAGGGUUCUCUAAGCUGGUAUUCCAUAAUUUUUGCACCAAAUCCAGAAGAUUCAAAUACGAAGCUAGAUCGAGGAAAGGAAAAAGUUCGGGAUUAGUAGAUUUUUUUUGUUUACAAACAAGUAUCAAGGUAAGUUCGUGUAACUUGAAUUAUAUUCUUAAAUUGCUUGAGAUUGUAUGUUAUUGAUGUGAAUAUGAUUUGAAUGUUCAUUGUAUGAAAAUUAAUGAAACAUUGAUAUAUUUGAUAAAAUGGGAAGAAAUCUCGGUUGAAUGAAAGGAAAAUUCGAUGGAUCUCUGAAAAGGAAUUGACGGUAAAAAGGAUCAAGCCCGGACGGGUGAUCCUAUCUUGAUAUAGCCCUCCCGAAGAAUAUGUGUAAAAUGGAUUUAGCCCGGACGGGUAAUCCGAAUUAGGGUCUGAAUUAGCCUGGAUUGGUAAUUCAGAUCCAAACUCGUUAGAGUAAUUGUCGUUGCAGGGGAUUUAGCCUGGACUGGUAAUCCCGACAAUACUCUAUGAGUUUAUAUUGCAGGGGAUUUAGCCUGGACUGGUAAUCCCGCUGCAAGGUUGAGGUUCGCGAGAGUGUGUUCUUUGAAAUGGAAAUGUGCGCACAUGAAUAUGAUUUGACAGACCCGGAAUUGUACACUAAAAGUGUAUCUCUAAAAAAUCUAUCGAAAUUCCGAUAAAUUCAACGGGAUAAAUAUGGAAAAAUAACAAGGAAAUGGAAAUUAUGAUAUUGAUGAGCUCAUCAAUCAUAGUAUAUAUUAUUGGUACAUGGAAAUUAUUGUACUAACUUGAAUGUUGAGUUUGUGCAUGUUAGGGUAAUAAUGCAUUGAAUGGACAUAGGAAUGUUUAUUGUAUUGUAUUGAAAAUAUUAGGUAAGUAUAAUUCUUAUUACAUGAGCUUACUAAGCACAAAGUGCUUACUAUGUUUCAUUUUCCCUUGUUUUGUAGUGUUAAGAGCUCGGAGGUCGGAUUUGGUCGGAGACACAUCACACUAUCAACCUCAGGAUUUCGGUAUAUAAAGAAACUGUAUUUUGGAAAUCAAUGGCAUGUAUAAGCUAAUAAAGUAAAUGUUAACGUGAAAUGAAUGUAAAGUUAGCCAUUAGUAUGGUUAACAAACAUGGUUUUGGGUAUGUGAUGACGUUAUUUUAUAAAUAUGCAUGAAUUUAUCUUGAAAAUAUGUUGAAUUAGAUUGGUUGAUGUGGAUUGUUUUUGGUUUAAAAUUUCAGGGAAGUUUAGAUAUCUAUAAA